rnacentral:rRNA from 1 species
UACGAAGGGGGCUAGCGUUGCUCGGAAUCACUGGGCGUAAAGCGCACGUAGGCGGAUUGCUAAGUCAGGGGUGAAAUCCUGGAGCUCAACUCCAGAACUGCCUUUGAUACUGGCGACCUUGAGUCCGGGAGAGGUGAGUGGAAUUCCGAGUGUAGAGGUGAAAUUCGUAGAUAUUGGAAGAACACCAGUGGCGAAGGCGACUCACUGGCCCGUUACUGACGCUGAGGCGCGAAAGCGUGGGGAGCAAACAGG